rnacentral:rRNA from 1 species
UCGUGGAUUGAUUUGUCUGCUUAAUUGCGAUAACGAGCGAGACCUCCACGCUAUAAUAGUUACGUGAUCUCGCGAUCACGGGCAACUUCUUUAGCGGACUGUUGCGUGUUUUAACCAAAGGAAGAUGGAGGCCAUAACA